rnacentral:rRNA from 1 species
GUCUAUGGCCAUGCUACCCUGAACAAGCCUGAUCCCAUCUGAUUUUGGAAGCUAAGCAGAGUUGGGCCUGGUUAGUACUUGGAUGGGGGACUAUCUAGGAAGACCAGGUGCUGUAGGUG